rnacentral:ncRNA from 1 species
UUGAGCUAACUGAGGGGAAACUUUCUUGGUUAGUUCUUAGGGGAGGGGAUGGCGGUAACGCUAUCUUCUUACCCGAC